UACGGAAGGCAGCAGUGGGGAAUAUUGCACAAUGGGCGCAAGCCUGAUGCAGCCAUGCCGCGUGUAUGAAAAAGGCCUUCGGGUUGUAAAGUACUUUCAGUCGUGAGGAAGGUGUUAAGGUUAAUAACCUUAGCAAUUGACGUUAGCGACAGAAGAAGCACCGGCUAACUCCGUGCCAGCAGCCGCGGUAAUACGGAGGGUGCGAGCGUUAAAUCGGAAUUACUGGGCGUAAAGGGCACGCAGGCGGUUAAUUAAGUUGGAUGUGAAAUCCCCGGGCUUAACCUGGGAAUGGCAUUCAAGACUGGUUAGCUAGAGUCUUGUAGAGGGGGUAGAAUUCCAUGUGUAGCGGUGAAAUGCGUAGAGAUGUGGAGGAAUACCGGUGGCGAAGGCGGCCCCUGGACAAAGACUGACGCUCGAUGUGCGAAAGCGUGGGGAGCAAACAGGGAUUAGAUACC
rnacentral:rRNA from 1 species